UGUGUAGGCGGCCUUCUAAGUUUGGUGUGAAAUCCCCCGGCUCAACCGGGAGGGUGCGCCGAAGACUGGGGGGCUAGAGUGCGGGAUGGGAGAGUAGAAUUCCUGGUGUAGCGGUGAAAUGCGUAGAUAUCAGGAGGAAUACCUGUGGUGUAGACGGCUCUCUGGACCGCAACUGACGCUGAGACACGAAAGCGUGGGUAGCAAACA
rnacentral:rRNA from 1 species